rnacentral:tRNA from 1 species
GAAAGGCUUUAGCUUAAUUAAAGUGUUUGUUUUGCAUACAAAAGAUGUGGGUUAGUGUCCUGCAAGUCU